rnacentral:rRNA from 1 species
UACGGGGGGAGCAAGCGUUGUUCGGAUUUACUGGGCGUAAAGGGCGCGUAGGCGGCCACCGCAAGUCGACUGUGAAAUCUCCGGGCUUAACCCGGAAAGGUCAGCCGAUACUGCGGGGCUAGAGUGCAGAAGGGGCAACUGGAAUUCUCGGUGUAGCGGUGAAAUGCGUAGAUAUCAGGAGGAACACCGAUGGCGAAGGCAGGUCUCUGGGCUGAAACUGACGCUCAUGCACGAAAGCGUGGGGAGCAAACAGG